GCGAGUGAAGCGGCAACCAGCCUUCCAAAUUAUGAAAGCCUGGCCCUUCGGGUCCGCAUUUGUAAUUCUGUAGAGGAGGCUUUUGGGGCAGCCGCCUGUCUAAGUUCCUUGGAACAGGACGUCAUAGAGGGUGAGAAUCCCGUAUGUGACAGGACAUGGCACCCUAUGUAAAGCUCCUUCGACGAGUCGAGUUGUUUGGGAAUGCAGCUCUAAAUGGGAGGUAAAUUUCUUCUAAAGCUAAAUACCGGCGAGAGACCGAUAGCGCACAAGUAGAGUGAUCGAAAGAUGAAAAGCACUUUGGAAAGAGAGUUAAAAAGCACGUGAAAUUGUUGAAAGGGAAGCGCUUGCAAUCAGACUUGUUUAAACUGUUCGGCCGGUCUUCUGACCGGUUUACUCAGUUUGGACAGGCCAGCAUCAGUUUCGGCGGCCGGAUAAAGGCCCUAGGAAUGUGGCCCACUCUUCGGAGGGGGUGUUAUAGCCUGGGGUGUAAUACGGCCAGCCGGGACUGAGGUCCGCGCUUCGGCUAGGAUGCUGGCGUAAUGGUUGUAAGCGACCCGUCUUGAA
rnacentral:rRNA from 1 species